CUGAGCGAGUGAUGAUAAAGUUAUCCCUGUCUGAGGUUAAUCUUUCCUCUGUGGAAACGUAAUUCUGAGGCUCAG